GGAAGAACUGCACACUGGAAUCACUGAAGACAAUUGAAGCACUGACCUCUUUCCACCCCAGGAACAAGAUAUUUAUACCAGCUGGGAAACAGGGAUUGGCUGGCUGAUUAAUCAGAGACCAGAGUGCAGCUGCUGGGUAAUCAGGCUGAGAGCAGAGUGCAGCUGAUAGGCUGAAAGGUAUCACGUGAUUAGGAAAACAUGGCUGCGCCCAUGUUUGAACUUGGAGGGAAAGACUGUUUGUAACUUGCAUGUGAAACUUAACCCUGAUGCUGCCAGAAUCACAGUAAAGAGAUUAGAAACAAUGAGAUGCAGCGUGCUGCACACAGACAGUGCAGAUGGAAUCCAGGCUUGGAACGCUGGGACAGUCUCAGGAAGCAUUUGGAAGUCACCUUGAAACAUUGAUCAGGACCCGGAUAGCUGGGUGUUCCCACGAGUACAGGAAUAGUACGCAGACUUUGUCAGAGAAUGUCUUGUGCAUACAGGAAGGGAUUCCUGAAAAUGCUUUGUAACUGUCGCAUGGCGAGAUCAUUUCAGUAUAAAAAAUAAAAUAUACGCGCUUCUUCCAAAAUAAAAUAUACGCGCUUCUUCCAAAAUAAA